rnacentral:misc_RNA from 1 species
AAACUGCGAUAAGUAGUGUGAAUUGCAUUUAGUGAAUCAUCGAAUCUUUGAACGCACCUUGCACUCACUGGUAUUCCGGUGAGUACGCCUGUUUCAGUAUCAUUGAAAACACACAAUCAAAACUUUUUUUUUUUGAUUGGCCUUGGGCUUAUGACAGUUUGGUUCAUUCAUUUGGGAUCAAGCGGCCUGGAAUAGAUUGUCUGGCUAAUUGCAUCGUUGAUGAUCGCUAUUAGACUUUGGCUUUUUUAAAUGAACUGGAGGUUGAUUAACCAGUUUUUUAGCUUUAGUCGAAUGGUCAUUUGUAAAUCGAUCUUGGUCCAGCGGUUGAGGAUAACCGAAAAAUAAAACCAUAACAAUCACACUUUUUUCGUAUCGAUCUGAAAUCAGGUGGGACUACCCG